UACCUCCGGCUUUGCUGCUGUAGUUGCCCUUGGACUUCCGGGGGUAGCUUGGUCCCUUAAUGCAGGCACGGUUGGGAUUGCCAUGCCAGACAAGAUCUUGCUCCAGAUCUAGUCACAUUCUUCCAGGUCAUCUGUUCUCCUUCCCUCCAACAGCGAAGCUGUGAUUUUUCUCUGGCCUUGCAGGGAAAUGUGAUUCCACAUAAGCACAUUACUGUGUGGAAUAUCUCAUCUUUGUUGUUCUAGUGCAGUCCUUUCAGGUUUCCAGAGCCAGUUAGACUUGUUAUGAGGAGCUAAGUGAUUGGCUGGAUCUGGGGCUCAGUUUCAUAAAUUAUAGCCCCGUGCACUAGAAGCACGAGUCCUAUAGUUGCUGUAGUUCAGAGGCCUGCCAGUUCCUGCUUUAACGCAUAUGUAGUCGUAACUGAGUUCUAACACGGCCUUGGAUGUUUCUGUCCUAAAUAGCUGACAUUGCAUCUUCAAGACUGUGUGAGUAAUCCUGACUCUUUUUUUUUUUUUUUAAACUCAGUAAAUUAAUUACAUGCCCCGAGAGGGAGUGAUUGUAAUUAGAAAAUACUGAAUUAGCAGAUGAUUCAUUUUCAAGGUGCUGUACUAUAUGUAUCAAGUUCAGUGCAAUUAAUCUUAAAGCUUGUAAAACCCGGCACGGUUAUUUGAGAUUUUUGUCACGAGUCACAGUCAAGCUGCAUUUUCAAGGAAGCUGUUCCGUGCAUUUGCUAGCCCUGUUUGUUUUAUGGGGUCAGUAAGUUGAUGGAGGUCCAACAUGAGCAGCUUAAAACGGGCUGCUGGUGUCAAAGCAAUGGCUGAGAGAGCACUGGAGUCCGGCAAGUUUCAGGAUUUCCUACCCCCACUGUCCAGAACUGUAAGGGAGCUGCAAAUGAUAGCAGUCCUUUUGGGACACAGGUACAUGGCAGUUAGAGCAGUUAGAGAAAGGAGAAAUGUACAAUUACGGCAGUGCUACUUUUCUUCACUGUCCUCUGAAGCUGACUUAAGACAUAAUCUGUGAAUAACUAGAACAUUUUUAUAUGUAUAGAAAUGCUCCUCAGUGUUCUGUUUAUGUGGUAGAGAGCUGAAUGAGAAAUCACUAGCUUGUUUUCAAAAGCCUUAAAAGAAGUACAUUAAAUACACACAGACAUAAGCCUAACAGAAUAAAGUAUGCGGAUUGGAAUUUGUGGUUUUAGCGGAUCAGGAUCAAAUUAGUCUACGGAAGCUGCUGUUAGGACUGUAUAGUUGCUGGAGGUGACUUCUGUUACUGACAAGGUUUAAGACAAAGCUCAUUAAAAUGAGAAACUAGAAAACAUCGGCAUUAUAUUACCUUCUUUUUUUUUUUUUAGCAUUAUAUUACCUUCUAUAGCAUACACUGUAGGAUGGAGUUAAUACUGAGUAUAGACUGGUGAGUGUAAGCAGUUUACUUUUUACUUUUAAAUCAUUAUUGAUUUUCCCCCAGCCUUUCAUUAAAACAAAAGGCUUUUGCCUAUGAAGUUAGUACUUAGAAAUAUUUUUUCUUCCUUUCCAAUAAUUUUUAUACUUUUUUGCAAUACAGCACACAACUAGGUAAUUUCUUAUAAUCUGACUUGUUUUCUAGUUUGCUUUUUGCCUAAUUUUUCCCUCUUCAGACUUACAGCUGAAAAUGUAUCUAUUUGUCACAUAUGUAAACCUCCAGCAUAAAUUGUUUGAACAGUUUGGUAAAAUUGUGGGUUCCUGUGGCGAAUAAAAGCUUCUAACGGCUAUAGCAAUUAUUUGCAAAUUACUAUAAAAAUAUUACUUAUAUACUCAAGAGCAGUUUAUUUUUGGUUGUACCUCUAUAAAUGACUGACAUGAUUAGCUGGUAGGGGAGGAAUAUUAAUUGUGUUUUUGCAAAAUUUUAUGUUUAGAUCACACUUGAAAAUGCAAAGUUUUGUUAAAAAUAUUUUCACUUGCUUAAAUGUGACUUCUUAGGUCACACCAGUGGAUGAGGUUCAUAAAAGGAAAGAAAAAUCACCAACAUAGGAUUCUUUUCUGUAUCAACCAAAUGUAUGUAAAAUAGUUUUAAGUAAAAGCAGUUCCAAUAUAUUCUUUGAGAAACACAUUUACAUUAUGAAGACAGGAUAUGCAUUCCUUUAUCAAAACAGAAGAGCGAGUUGAUUUAUUGAGUGUCAGUAGCCACAGACGCUAAUACUAAUUGUUGAUGCGCUUGUUGUUCUACAUUCCUAACUGUGUUAGUGGAAGAAAGUGGUGCACCUAUAAAAGGAAUGUGGUUUCAUCCCUCAGGGUGGUUCGAGUCCCAUCUAGACUAAGACGUGGGUGGGGGUGGAAGCUGAUUUAUCUAACCUGGCUUCUGACUUCCAAGCUGGCACCCCUUUCUUGUGGUAGGGUCCCUUCCACCUUUUCCUGCCUUCAUUCUUUAUACUAACUUGCUUGGGCUCUUACUUAGAUGAAUCAAAUAAAGAUGAUUUAAGCUCAUUAUCAAACUUUUACAAGCUGCCCAUGCAAUUCAGAAGGUACCUAGAGCAGGUGUUUAGGGCUCAGGGAAAUACUGCUGUAUUGGGCUUCUGAGUGCCUCAGUUGGUUAAAUGUCCGACUUCUGUGCAGGUCAUGAUCUCGUUGUCCAUGAGUUCGAGCCCCACAUCCGGCUCUGAGCUGUCAGCACAGAGCCUGGAGCCUGCUUCCAAUUCUGUGUCUCCCUCUCUCUCUGCCCUUCCCCCUGCUUGCAUACUCUCUCUCCAAAUAACAAACAUGAAAAAAUUAAGAUAUUAAAAAUAGAAACAGUGCUGUGUAUACACUACGAUUAUUGACAACUUGCUUUGGUGCUUUGUAGAGGACUUUUAUCUCUUCAGUUCUGCCAGAAAUGCAAGGGACACACCUCCUUCUUGAGAGAGGCAGGAUAUUAAGAAAAGCAAGAGUAGAGGGUUGCCAGGUGGCCACUGGAUAGCAGUGAACAGGGCAUUGUGAAAAAGGAACAGAUCCUUUUACAGAUAAGGAUCUGUAAGACUGCAUGUCUGCCAUAGACAGAUGGAUUUGACAAAAGAUGUAUCCAAAAAGGAAUGCAUUACGUUAUGAUUUGCAAAGUGUUCAUGAAUACGCAUUGGCACUUGGAAAGUAUUAACACUACCUACUAAAGCAAUGACAUAAAUCCAAAUUGGAAAAAAAAUUUUAUUGAUUGAAUUAGAUUUUCCAGCGUUAGCUGAUGAAUUUUGCUUUUGGAAAGACUUGAUCUUCUCUAAGACAUUUUUUUUUCUGGUUGUAUAUAUAGCACUAAUCUUACUGCUUAAUUUUGCUCAAGAAUUUAAUUUUUCCUCGUUGGCAUUUUCAAAAGAGUUGCUGUUCCACCUUGAGUAUGUUUUAAAGGAAGCAGAGCAAAACAAAUGAGGCACCUCCCCCAGCCCACCCCAUUGCACGUGAUACAUCGCAAAGAGUUAAACACCUUAGAUUUGUGUACUACUCUGUGGAAUGCAACACUACCCAUUGGUAGAGGAGGAGAUUUAAUUUAAAAGCAAUUAUUCCAAUGAUAUAAUGUGAGCAGGUGAUGUAAUUUCCCAUUUUAUUGAUCGCUAGCAAGAUUGCGUCCCUCCAAGUUAAAGAGGUAGAAUGGCUUAAUGAAAUAAUCUUGCAGUCAGUGAGCUCAUGCUCAAGUCAUUAAAUUUUUCUAAGCCUCAGUCUCUACGUCUGUAAAAGGGAAAUGAUGACGUAUGUUCUGGUAUUUUACUGUGCUGGUGAGUAUCAGCAGCACAAUGAGAAAGUGUUUCUCAAAGAAUGUUUUAAUUCUUUGUAUAUCGUAAUGUAUCAUACAACUACACGCUGAUAGUAUGGCAGAUGCUCACGACACUAGUUCCUCUAUUUUAAGAGCAUGUUCUCAAUAUUGGAGAAAUACUUAAAAAUUUUUUUUAAAUGUUUUUUUUUUUUUGAGAGUGAGAGCGAGAGUGAGAGCGAGAGAGGAGGGGGAGAGGUAGAGAAUAAGCAGGGCAGGGGCACAGAGAGAGAGAGAGACAGGAUCCAAAGCAGCCUCCAGCUCUCAGCUGUCAGCACAGAGCCCGAUGCAGUGCUUGAACCCAUGAACUGUGAGAUCAUGACCUGAGCCGACAUUGGACGCUUAACUGACUGAGCCACCCAGGUGCCCCCAAGAAGUACUUCUUAAAGCGAAGGAAGUCUUCGUUGUUUAAUACUGAAACGUUACGAAGGCUUUUAGAACCUCAGUCCUUGUCUGUCAGUUACUUGAGUGUUAAAAAUACCAUUUGGUUUACUGUGACAGGUAAACGAGAUAUUGUAUGUGAGAACAUAAUGAGUAAACCUUCUAAGUGUCAUAUGAAUGUCGCUUAAGAUAACUGUUAUUAUCAGCCUAUUAAAGUAUAAAUCAGUUUUUAAGAAAGAAAAUAUCACAUGCAUUUCUUACUGAGUUGUUUGAUUUCUUUUCUAAACUGUGUCUGCUUCCCUCAGGCAGGAUGGGUUUUCUUGUUGUUUAAGCUUGUGUGGUGAUUUUCCUUCCAUUUACAUAUAGAACCACACCAGGACUGAGAUCAGCGUUCCUUCACCGGAUACAUUUAGAAUUGCUAAUGAUGAAGUUUGAGAGGAGGUAGUUUCCUGACAGGAAAAAGUGAGUUAGGAAAUUCAGUCAAAAUUCUUGGACUUUUUAUUCCUGUCUUGACUUGCUUUAUUAAAUUGAAGUAAUGGAAUACUUGUGGAGGUUUUAAACUGUUGCUGCUCCCAGGAAUAAAAUUAAUGGUCUAAAUGACUUUCUGAAUAGUCACUAGUUUCGAAUUCCAAAUUUGUCAGUAGUUCUACUUGGCCAUAUCAUCAUCAUUUUGGGAUAUUGGCCACAGUCAUGUCCUAUGCUUGAGCUGCUUGAGCUUAGUGUUAGGAUGCGUUUAAUUAUUUCCCAGCAGUAAUAUCUGUUCGAUGGAAGCACUUCUGCCUCGACAACCGUUUUUUCUCUUUAGAUGAAAUUGAACAGGAAGCACAAUAAGCACAAUGAAUAUGAAUAGAAUGGAACCUCUCCUGCCUUUAUCCCAUGCACCCUACCUAACAUAAGGUACAUAAGGGGACUUCCUAGAAAUGAAUGAAUUUCAUUUGUAGUAUAGAAUGGAAAACUGUUAGUUGGAGACAUUAAUCUGACUUUCUUGUGCCUUUGGUGAUGGAGUAAGAGCCCUCUUUACUAACUUAAAUAAUGUUGAAAGAUUUUUUUUAACUUCUUUUAUUCCCUCAGCCUUGUUGAGAUACAGGUGACAUACAACACUAUGUAAGUUUCAGCUGUAGAGCAUGUUGAUUUGUUACACUUAAGGGUUGUAAAGUGAUUGCUGUCAUAGCAUUAGCUAACCCUUGCAUCAUGUGACAUAAUUACUAUUACUUUUAUUGUAGUGAGAACACUUAAGAUUUAUUCUCAUGGCAAAUUUCAAGUAUGUAAUACAGUAUUACUAACCAUAAUCACUAUGGUAUAUUUUAGAUCCCUGCAACUUAUUCAUGUUCUAACUGGAAAUUUAUACUCUUGGACCAAUAUCUUCCCUUUUCCCCCACCCCCUGGCCCAUAGCAAACACUAUUCUGCUCUAUUUCCGUGAGUACAGCAUUUGUGGCUUUCACACGUAAGUGGAAACCUACAGUAUUUGUCUUUUCUCUGUUUGCCUUAUGUUGCUUAGCAUAAUGCCAUCAAGUUUCAUUUAUUUUGUCACAAAUGACAAGAUUUCCUUCUUUUUUGUAGAUGAAUAAUAUUCCAGUAUAUGUUUAUAUUUCACAUUCUUAACCCAUUCAUCAAGGACACUUAGGUUGUUUCCAUGUCUUGGCUAUUAUGAAUAAUGAUGCGAUCAACAUGGGAGCACAGAUAAUUCUUCAACAUCCUGUUUGUAUUCUCUUUGGGGAUAUACCCAGAAGUGGAGGUGCAGGAUCAUAUGGUAGCUCUAUUUUUAACUUUUUGGGGGGAAUGUCUAUAAUGCUUUUCAUGGUAGCUGUACCAGUUUAGUAAAAUGGAUCUUGAUGGGUGCAUUCCUCUCAUUCAAGUGGUGUUCUCGGGGCCCUGCUCUUAUUACAUCAUUACCACCAACCAGGUCCUUGUGUGGUGGCAGAGGGGAAGAUGCCCCAAGGAUUGUUCACAUUGUUGUGGCCAGAGGUGGGUCACAUGGCCUCACCUAGAUACAGCAUGCAGUCCUAUUUCUGUCUGCAGAAAACAGAAAGUUGCUUUGGUGACCAGCCAACCAAUUUAUACCUUUUUUUUUUUUUGCUUCUUUCCUUUUUAUUCCAUUUCUGUUUCUUUUCUUUCUGUUCUCUAGUAUGUCUACGUAGAAUCUAGGCCUUGUAACCAUGAACCAAAGGUUAAAUUAAAAAAAUACAAUCUUUAUCAUCUAGAAGAAAUUAGGAAUAUAACUUUACUUUUAAAUUAUUUUUUAAAUUUAUUUUUAUUUUUUUAAUUAACAAUUUAAUGUUUACUUUUGAGAGAGACCGAGUAUGAGCAGGGGAGCGGGAGGAGUACAGAGAGAGAGAGACACAGAAUCUGAAGCAGGCUCCAGGCUCUGAGCCGUCAUGACCUGAGCCAAAGCUGCCUUUGGCUUAACUGACAGAGCCACCCAGGCCCCCCACCCCCUGCCCCCUACUUUUAAAUUCUUAAUCUCCUCUGUUCACAACUUCUCAAGACUACUAAAACAUAAUUUUAUGAAAAUUAUGAUUAUAAAGAUUAUUAUUGAUUUAAUCUUUAUAUCCUAUUGUGAAAUAAGGGGUAAUGGGAUGUUUUUCUUAAUACAUCUAGCCCGUCCUCUUCUGUGUUAGGUAUUUGAAUCUCUCACUUUGUAGUUUCAGAAAAGCCUGUGAAGAAAAUGAGUAACUGGGAACAGAAAAUGAUUGAAACUUAUUCACUCUUUCCAGUUCCUUGAGUAUUUUUUAAGUUGUGCAAUGAGUAUUAACUUAUCAUUGGACAAAAGUGCUCACCUACAUAUAAAGAGUAUGUAGCUUUUGGAGAACAAUUUGUUGCAUGGAGUGAGCAAAUGUUGCAAAUAAUGUAAGUGUGGUUUGUAGAUUGUUUUCUAGAAGCUGAAAGAUUUGUCUCCACUCCGAGGUCCUAGAAAUUAGCAAAAAUGUUAAUGGCACAAAUGAAAAAGACUGCAGAUGCCCAUUUAGUAACCAAAAAUAUUUUUCAGGUCAUUGCUAUUGAAAACAAUCUCUCCAUAAACUUUCAAUUUUCUUUUAAUAAAACAUCAUAAGCCAAUUUUAGUCCUUUACUCUGGAUACAUUAGGGAUGAAUAUUUUUGUUGGGUGAUAAGCCAAUAUUAACCUCAGUCAUUAAAAACAAAAUGCCUUUUUUCCAUAUAAGCCAAAUUUACAAUUGAGCUAUUUAAGAAAUAAAGACAACAAAUAAAUAUCGCUUUUAAUCUUCACAUCCUGAUCUAAGAAAUAGAAGGACUAAAUUAUUUUACAUACUCAUAUUUAUCUGAUGAAACUAGGAGUUCUUAAAAGAAUUUUCCCAUAACACCAUUUACUUGUUUAUUGGUCUGGCUCAUUCCAAAAACAAUCUUCAGUGCAACAUUGAAAAAGAACAAAAUCUCCUCAAUCUAAGGUCUAAAAGCUCUUUUUUUUUUUUUUAAGUUUAUUUAUUUUGAGAGAGAGAAAGUGUGAGCAGGGAAAGGGCAGAGAGAGAAUCCCAAAUAGGCUCUGAACAGUCAGUAUGGAGCCCAAUGUGGGGCUCGAACUCAUGAACCCAGAGAUCAUGACCUCAGCUGAAGUUGGAUGCUGAACCGACUAAGCCACCCAGGUGCCCCUCUUUUUAUUUUGGUGGAACUGAACAAAAAUAAUAGACUCUUACUAGUUUUUACCCCGAGGCAUUGAAAACCAUUGACAUGUCUCAAAUGUUAGAUUCUGAAGAUUGUAUUACAUUUGGUAGAGAUUUUACAUGUAUCUUACCAUGUUCAUGGUCUUUGUAAUAAGGCACCCAAUAUAGUUAUAAGGUAAUGCCUUGGUAAUGUGUAGUAACUGAUAAAAAAACUGCCUGGGUUCAGAUCUCCUCUCUGCCUCUUUGUAGCCGUGUUUAUCUGUUUUCAUCUCCCUGUACCUUAUUUUCCUUAUCUGAACAGUGGGGUAAUAAAAGUAUCGACCUGGUUGGGUUGUUGGGUACAUUGAAUAAAUUAAUAUACAUAAAAGAGUUUGGAAUGAUGCAUGACUCGUAGUAAGUGCUUUAUAAAUGUUUGUCUUCCCAUGAUUAUCUGGGGGAUUUGAUUAUUUCUUAAAAUAUACACUCUAGAUAACUGGAAUUUAUUCAGUCAGUUUCAAAAUGCUAAUAGCCAAUUUUGAUGGGUUUUUCUAAAUGGGUCCUUGAUGUCUGUGUAUUCUGUCGUAAGAUUAAAUGGAAUCUUUCCUCUGGCAAUUCAGAAUCAUCAUUAUGACCAUCAAAAAAUGGAAGUUUGCUCUAAGUAAGUGAUACUGAGUCAGGUGACAUAGAAAUGAUGAAGAUGACCGUAACAAGUUUAGGAAAAGUGUUUUACCCCUAAACUAGCUGGUCCAGGCUGCCCUGUUGUUUUUGUCUUCUGUCUGUUCUCAAGGCUUUUGGCCUUUCCUCUCUUAGCUUCUGUUAACACUCCUGCUUUGAAAUUCCUGUUUCUCUUUUGCUGUAGAUUAUAAGCAUUUAUUUUUGAGAGAGACACAGAAUGCAGGAGGGAGAGGGGCAGAGAGGGAGGGAGACACAAAAUCUAAAACAGGAUCCAGGCUCUGAGCUCUCAGCAGAGAGCCCCACACAGAGCUCAAACUUAGGUACUGCAAGAUCAUGACCUGAGCUGAAGGAUGUUUAACUGACUGAGUCACCCAGGGGCCUCGAAAAUAGUACAGUUUUUGAGAAAAAAUGUAUAUAAAAUGAGAAAACGAGCAUUUGCUCAGGGUGUUAAUUCUCCCCCUGAGAGUAAUAAGAACAUAAGUGCAUUUUUUCCUUUUGGGAGAGGGUUAUGUUUUAAGCAGAAAUUCUUAAAGUAUUUCCUGUGGGCCAAAUCUGAUUUUGUAAAUAAAGUUUUAUUGCAACACACCCUCAUUAGUUUAUAUAUUGUUGCCUGCUGCUUUUGCACCACAAGUGCAGAGUUGGGUAGUUGCUGCAGAGACAGUAUGGCUUGCAAAGACUGAACUAUUUACUAUAUGGCCCUUUAUAGAAAAAAGGUUGCUAAACCCUGUUUGGGAGCCUUACAGUUUUGGGCAGGGUCUAAAUAAAUGAGAUGUUACUGUGUUUAGUAGUCUUUGCUAAUUUGCAUAUUCAAUUACCUAUAGCACUGCCUCUCCUAAAUAUAUUGUGGAUAAACAAGAAUAAUUGCACUAGCCUCUGUUGAAUAAAGGAUAAACAGCCCACAAUAGCACAUUGAGAAAAUUAACAGGAGGUGAUAAUGUCAUUGACAAGCAAAGUGGGAUGGGAAUCCUCACUUUGGUCUUUGUUGCUCUACUGUUACCAGUACAUAACAUAAUGUGAAAUUACAAAACCUUCUCUUGUGUUGUAUAGAAUAUUCUAGAAAUGUUUCUAGUUAGUAGCUGCUUUUGUUACACAAUUGUCCAGUGAAAAUGUAAAUGCCUCUCUUGUCUCUUCUCCCACCUUUACUUAACUGUUCUUUAUCUUUCAUCUUACAUUUAUCUCUGGUCUUUAUCUUUUCCGUAAAAAAAAAAAAAAGUUUUUGAAGUUUCCUACAUUGUAUUAUUCUGGAUUAUCCUGCAUGGGAAAGGACUCUGAACCUGACUUUGAAUUCUAAUUUAGUCACUUUAUAGAAGAGAAACCUCAGGAAGUCACAUUGCCACCUCCAAUUUCAGUUUGCUUGCCUAUAAAAGGGAGGCAAGAAUCCAUGCUUUGCUUACCAAAUGCUCUAAGCUGUUUGGAUAGCCCCAAAAUUCAUGUGUUGAAAUCCUCAUGGCCAGUAUUAGGAGUUGGGGCCUUUUGGCAGUGUUUAAGUCAUUAUGCACAGCCCUAAUGAAUGGAGGUAAUGCUCUGCAUAAAAGAAGCCUCAUAGAGCUCUACAGGCCCUGUUACCAAUUGAGGAUAUAAAGAACAGUCUGCAACCUGGAAGAGGCCCCUCAACUGGCCAUUCUGGCACCCUGAUCUUAGACUUCCACCUCCAGAACUAAUCCAGUUGGCUUUUGAGUGGAUAAUUGUUGCAGUGAGCUCAGUGACAUUGGAAGCGACUCUUGUCCAUUUGAAUUACUUAAAACACCACCAUGAAAAGAAAUACCUGUGAUCUGCUUUCUCGGAGCAAAAGUGCUUCUGAGGAAACACUGCAUUCCAGUAAUGAAGAGGAAGACCCUUUCCGAGCAAUGGAACCCUAUCUUGUACGGAGACUUUCUUGCCGUAAUGUUCAGCUUCCCCCUCUUGCCUUCAGACAGUUGGAACAAGCCGACUUGAAAAGUGAAUCAGAAAACAUUCCCAGACCGACCAGCCUCCCUCUGAAGAUUCUACCACUGAUUGCUAUCACUUCUGCAGACUCCAGUGGGUGAGUGCCUCUGGGCAACAUUUUCCCGUUUUAUAUUUUGGAUGGUGAUUGUUAUCUUUGGUCUUUUGAGAUUUUGUGGCUCAUUGCCUGAUUUGAUUGGGAGGAAAAUGUCUCUACCUCUACAGGAGAAGCUGUUUUAGUCAAAUGGUUUUACACAGAGGAGUUGAACAGGUAUUGGUGAAUGAGAAUAAACAUCUAAGAAAGGAGACUUGGACUUGGAAAAUUAAUAUUGGUCAUAUGUGAUUUAAUAAUAAAAAUUCUUCACACAUGAGAACUAAUUAACACAUUAAUACAUAGGCAUACAUAUCUGGAAACAGUAGGCCAUGUUCACUGGUACAAAAUGAAUUUUGAAUUAAGAAUAGAUUGUCAUGUAAUAAGAAUCCAAGGAAAUAAGCAAUUAUAUUCAGGAGGCUAGUAAUUUGGCCUUUGACACAUGAAGGUGUUGCUUACCAGAAUACUGUUUCAGUUCCCAAAAGGAGGUGGUUUUAUAUAGUGCUAGUUAUGGAAGAGUCACACACAGUCACUGUCUCCAUCAUUCAAUAACUUUUGUAUUGCUGACUUUGUAGAAUAGUUGUGUUUUUGUUCUUUCUCUGCUCUUUAGCAAUGGAGGUUUUACUCUUUAAGAGCAAUGUUGCCAGGUAAACAUUGAGAAAGAAAGUGUGGAUAAUGGGCACAUCCAUUCUUUGCUGUUUUGGUCAGCUGCAUUUCUAAGAAGAUUGAAUAGGAAAGAGAGGAAGAAUCCAGUGGCCCAUAUUUGGAAAGACUCUAGAGCAUUCGCUAAGAUUAUGAGAACAAAGCAAUUUGUUAGGUGACAAAUGUGAUUCUUCCCCAUUCUCCGCCAAAUUGAAGGCACGUCUAGGAAAGGUGCUUCUGGAUUUUCCUAGAAGUUGUUAGAAAAGUUGUAAUUAGAAGAAAUUUUGCUAGUAACUGCCCUCAGUGAUACUGAGUUUAGUUUGAAUUGUUACAGAUCAGUUCAAAGGACUUGUGUUAUUAAAAGGUAUGAAGAAAUUACUACUAGGUAAGUGAGAAUAUACCAAAUUCUUAAAGAAAUGGAAAGUGGAAAUAUGUGUCUAGUUGUCUUUGGUUUUUGUUUUUGAUGAACCAUGUAUGUAAGGAAGAUUGUACACUUAUUGAUCAAACACACUGAAGCAGUUGGGAAUUUUAUAUGGCAGCUUGACCUGAACAUUGAAAAAUACUGUCUCAAAAAACUGAUUUCCCCUCUCUUUGGGAUCAAAGAUGAACUACUACUGUUCAUCUGUGUAUAGGGCAGGAUUCCCAGAUAUCAGGGAUUGAGUCAGGGGUCACCAAGACUUCCCCUAGAUUCCAUGAUUUGCUAGAUGAGCUCGCAGGACUCAGCCAAUAGUCCUAUUCAUGGCUGAGAUUUAUUACAGCCAAAGAACACAAAGCAAAAUCAGCAAAGAGAAAGGCACAUGGGGCAAAAUCUGGAGGAAAGCAGCCGGAAGCUUCCUAGAGUCUCCAAUUACAGUAGAGUCAGACAGGAUGCCCUUAAUUCCUCUAGAAGUGAGCUGUGACAACACCUGUGAAAUGUGUCACCGGAAAAGUCUUAUACCAGAAAAACCUCUGAAAGACUUGGUGCUUGUAUGAGGAAUGUGAAACGGUGCAACUCACAGAAAGAUAAGGGGGUUGCCAGGGGCUAAGGGUAGGGAAAUGGGAAAUUGCUAUUCAAUGGGUAUAUCAUUUCAAUUAUGCGAAAUGAAUCAGCUCUAGAGAUCUGUAUCAUUAUGCCUAUAAUGAACAACAUUGUGUUGUGCGCUUAAAUAUUGGUCAGGGGAGAUCUCAUGCUAAAUGUUCUUACCACAAUUAAAAAAAAAGCAAGAUAAAAACCCAGGAAAUAAAAAAUAGACUCAGUGACCAGAAUUUUUACUGGGGGCUGGUCACUUAGGCACCCUCUAUCCAGCCUAUGCCUAAAUUUCAGAUUCCCAGAAGGAAAGCAGUUGUUCAGCACAAACCACUUUUUUUUUCUCUUUUAGAACCAGGUUAGGCACAGUGAAUGUCUCUUACCAUUUAGGGAAUGGUGGACAGUCUCCUGAAAUCCCAGUUUCUAGAUACCAGCCAAGGGCAAACUUUCAAACAGGCUUUUCUGAAGAUAAUGUCACAGGCCUGACGUUAACUCUUUUCUGCACAGCAGGUUUAUCUUAGAAUCAUUAUCUUGUUUUGUCUACAUUUGAGUAAGAAGAGAAUAUAGUUAAAAUUUAAAUAAAUUUCAGCUGUGAUGCAUUCAUUUAACUUUGGUAUGUAAAAGAAUUUGAUGGCUAACCAUGAUUUCUCAUUCAAACCUCAUGUUAUAUCAUCUGCUAUUAAAAGAAAAUAAUGCAUUAGAUCUAAUAUAUCUCUAUAUAGUUGGCCAUGUAUAUAAUUAAAAUUCUUAGGUAAAAACCUAACUCAAUUAAUUACAUUUAAAUGUGUUGCUAAAAACAAAUAGUCUCUAAGUGCCAAAUAGAGAAUUGUCAGUAUGGUUAUACUUACGUUGGUUCAAAGUUUGUUUCCUUCUUAUAUAAGAAUCUAAGAAACAAGUGUAAGUGAAAUUGUGCUUACCAUUUGCAAACUUAUUCAGUAUUUUGGAGGAAAGAGUUUGUCUUUUAGAAAGGUGAAACCAGGGUAAUUUGUACAUGAAGGCAGCCAGGAGAAACCAUGGACAAGCGUGACUAACAAGAAACAAAGACUAAGAAUGUAUGAAAGGGACUAUUAUUACAUUCUGAGGCAAAAAUUAUUUGUGAAUUGAGUAUUUGAGAACUAUAAAAAUCAGGUGUAUAAUUUUCUGGAAUAUCUAAGCUUUGGAAGGGAAGCAGAAGGUAAAGUUAGGGCUCACAUCCUGUAGCCACUUCAGUUAACCAAACCCCCAGAUUCCUUCAGAGAAAAGGCUAAUGGGGAAUUGAGACUAUUUUAGCCAAGUUGUCUCAGUUCCUUGUUGUUGAAGGUAAGCCUGCCACCAGGUCUCUUUGUCAACCUACACUGAGACACUGGUAAUUGUAAAUCUUUGAUGGGAAAGGAGGCUUUUCAUGUCCUUUGGAUUUAUUUUCCUUAAUUUCUUAACAUCAUAACUUUUUGUUCUUUCUUCCUGUGUAUCAGCACACCAGAGACUUGCUCUGUGAGGUAUCACACAGUGGGUCUAGAGGCUUAUGCGACCCCUUUAGAAAGACACAGUGUGGCCCCAAGAGUAACUAUUUUUUGAAGGGAACUUUGGCCUGCAGCUAUUACCUUCCUAAUGAAGUGCCUGGGUCAAGAUACUGAAAUUGAGAGAGCCUUUUAGAAUGAACAGUUCCACAGUUCUACUUUGGGUUGUUUUGACCAGGUGCUUUAAAUGUGUUCAAAUAUAUGCCGUUUAACAACUCUCUAUAAAUAAGCCUAACGUGUCUGAGCUUUUGUGUAUUGUGAUUAAGCAACCUUUACAAACUUUCAAGGAUGACAAAACAGAAUUGUAAGAUCUGAGAUGUUGAAAACCUUCAAUGUAUCCAUCAGUUAGCUUUCCAUAUGGGAUAGGGUCACUCUGACUUCAGAGCUGUGUAUUGACUCUCACAGAAGAAGGACAUCUGUUAAUGGUUUGAAAUGCUAUGAACUACAGAAUGGGAAAAGAUAUUUGCAAAUGAUAUAUCAGACAAAGAGCUAGUAUCCACAAUCUAUAAAGAACUCACCAAACUCCACACCUGAAAAGCAAAUAAUCCAGUGAAGAAAUGGGCAGAAAACAUGAAUAGACACUUCUCUAAAGAAGACAUCCAGAUGGCCAACAAGCACAUGAAAAGAUGCUCAACAUCACUCCUCAUCAGGGAAAUACAAAUCAAAACCACACUUAGAUACCAUCUCACACCAGUCAGAGUGGCUAAAAUGAACAAAUCAGGAGACUAUAGAUGUUGGAGAGGAUGUGGAGAAACGGGAACCCUCUUGCACUGUUGGUGGGAAUGCACACUGGUGCAGCCACUCUGGAAAACAGUGUGGAGGUUCCUCAAAAAAUUAAAACUAGAUCUACCCUAUGACCCAGCAAUAGCAUUGCUAGGAAUUUACCCAAGGGACACAGGAGUGCUGGUGCAUAGGGGCACUUGUACCCCAAUGUUUACAGCAGCACUUUCAGCAAGAGCCAAAUUAUGGAAAGAGCUUGAAUGUCCACCAACUGAUGAAUGGAUAAAGAAAUUGUGGUUUGUAUACACAAUGGAAUACUACUUGGCAAUGAGAAAGAAUGAAAUAUGGCCUUUUGUAGCAAUGUGGAUGGAACUGGAGAGUGUUAUGCUAAGUGAAAUAAGUCAUGUGAGAAAGAUACCAUAUGUUUUUACUCUUUUGUGGAUACUGAGAAACUUAACAAUAGACCAUGGGGGAGGGGAAGGAAAAAAAGAAGUUAGAGAGGGAGAGAGCCAAACCAUAGGAGACUCUUAAAAACUGAGAAUAAACUGAGGGUUGAUGGGGGGUGGGAAGGAGGGGAAGGUGGGUGAUGGGCAUUGAUGGGCUUUGAGGAGGGGGCAUCUGUUGGGAUGAGCACUGAGUGUUGUAUGGAAACCAAUUUGGCAAUAAAUUUCAUAUUAAAAAAAAGAAAUGCUAUGAACUUGGCAAAGAAAUAAUUUGGAAUGUCAUCGAUUUUCAUAUUUCUCUCAAGUGUUUUUUCUCCAUUUACAUUUUUUAAUGUUUAUAUUUUAUUUUUGAAAGAGAGAGAGAGACAGAGAGAGCAUGAAUGGGGGAGGGGCAAAUAAAGAGGAGGACAGGAUCUGAAGCAGGCUCUGUACUGGCAGCAGCAAGCCCAAUGUGGGGCUUGAAUUCACGAACUGUGUGAUCAUGACCUAAGCUGAAAUUGGACACUCGACUGACUGAGCCACCCAGGUUCCCUCUCCAUCUAAGCUGUCAGCCCAGAGUUUGAUGCAGGGCUAAAAUUCAUGAACCAUGAGAUCAUGACCUGAGCUGAAGUCAGACACUCAGCCAACUGAGCCACCCAGAUGCGCCAUAAAAUUUUUUUUUUAUUAAGAGAUAGUUUCCAUGAAGUAGAAUAGGCAACUCUUAAGUAUAUAUCUCGAUAAAAUUUUAUGUAUUUAUACACCCAUGUAAUCACCAUGUAGUUUGCUAACUCCUAUCACUGAAAAUUAGUUUGGCCCUUCUUGGACAUCAAAUAAAUGGGAUUGUAUUGUAAGCACUCUUUGUGUUUGUCUGCUAUCACUUAAAAUGCUUUUUGAUAUUUAUCCAUGUUGGUGUAUGUAUCAAUAGUUUGCUCUUUUUUAUUGUAGUGCAGUAUUCCACUGUGUGAGCAUACCAUAAUUUAUUUAUCUACACUCUCUUAUUGAUGGACAUUUGAGAUAUUUCUUGUAUGGGGAGCAUGUAUUAUGAGUAAAAUUGCUGUGUACUUUUGCAUACAAGUCUUUUGGUGGACAUACUCAAUUAUUUCUCUUGGUUAUAUUCCUGGGGCGUAAUGUCGGAGUCAUAGGUAAGCAUAUGUUUAUUUUAGUUACUGCCUAACAAUUUUCCAAGUGAUAUACUAUUUUACUCUCCCACUGGCAAUGUGUGGUAGUUCCAUUUGCUCUGCAUCCUCAACCUCACUUGGUGUUCUUAAUGUUUCAUUUUAUCAGUUCUGGUGAAUGUGUAGUGAGCAGUAUCUUACUAUGCUUUAUAUUAUCUUACAGUAUCUUACUAUGCUUUAUAUAUCUGAUGACAGGUAGUAUUGUUUAGCUACUAAUAUGUUU